AAUGAACGCUGGCGGCAUGCCUAACACAUGCAAGUCGAACGAAGGCUUCGGCCUUAGUGGCGCACGGGUGCGUAACGCGUGGGAAUCUGCCCUUGGGUUCGGAAUAACAGUUAGAAAUGACUGCUAAUACCGGAUGAUGUCGUAAGACCAAAGAUUUAUCGCCCAAGGAUGAGCCCGCGUAGGAUUAGCUAGUUGGUGGGGUAAAGGCCCACCAAGGCGACGAUCCUUAGCUGGUCUGAGAGGAUGAUCAGCCACACUGGGACUGAGACACGGCCCAGACUCCUACGGGAGGCAGCAGUGGGGAAUAUUGGACAAUGGGCGAAAGCCUGAUCCAGCAAUGCCGCGUGAGUGAUGAAGGCCUUAGGGUUGUAAAGCUCUUUUACCCGGGAUGAUAAUGACAGUACCGGGAGAAUAAGCCCCGGCUAACUCCGUGCCAGCCGCCGCCGUAA
rnacentral:rRNA from 1 species